GAAGGCUAUGUUGGCCGGGCGACGGUUGUCCCGGUUUAAGCGUGUAGGCUGGUUUUCCAGGCAAAUCCGGAAAAUCAAGGCUGAGGCGUGAUGACGAGGCACUACGGUGCUGAAGCAACAAAUGCCCUGCUUCCAGGAAAAGCCUCUAAGCAUCAGGUAACAUCAAAUCGUACCCCAAACCGACACAGGUGGUCAGGUAGAGAAUACCAAGGCGCUUGAGAGAACUCGGGUGAAGGAACUAGGCAAAAUGGUGCCGUAACUUCGGGAGAAGGCACGCUGAUAUGUAGGUGAAGUCCCUUGCGGAUGGAGCUGAAAUCAGUCGAAGAUACCAGCUGGCUGCAACUGUUUAUUAAAAACACAGCACUGUGCAAACACGAAAGUGGACGUAUACGGUGUGACGCCUGCCCGGUGCCGGAAGGUUAAUUGAUGGGGU
rnacentral:rRNA from 1 species